rnacentral:tRNA from 1 species
AAAAACUUAGUACUAAUGGUAUAAUUCACUUACAAUGAAUAGAUUUUAUUUUAAAAGUUUUUU